rnacentral:tRNA from 1 species
GGUCUUGUCGUCUAAUGGCUAGGACACAGCCCUUUCAAGGCUGGAAUGAUGAGUUCAAUUCUCUCCAAGACUA